UACGGAGGAUGCAAGCGUUAUCCGGAAUGAUUGGGCGUAAAGCGUCCGCAGGUGGCUGUGUAAGUCUGCUGUUAAAGAGUGAGGCUCAACCUCAUAAAGGCAGUGGAAACUACAUGGCUAGAGUGCGUUCGGGGCAGAGGGAAUUCCUGGUGUAGCGGUGAAAUGCGUAGAGAUCAGGAAGAACACCGGUGGCGAGAGCGCUCUGCUAGGCCGCAACUGACACUGAGGGACGAAAGCUAGGGGAGCGAAUGGG
rnacentral:rRNA from 1 species